rnacentral:rRNA from 1 species
UACAGAGGGUGCGAGCGUUAAUCGGAAUUACUGGGCGUAAAGCGCACGUAGGUGGCGACGUAAGUCGGGUGUGAAAGCCCCGGGCUCAACCUGGGAAUUGCAUUCGAGACUGCAUUGCUGGAGUACGGAAGAGGAAGGCGGAAUUCCCGGUGUAGCGGUGAAAUGCGUAGAUAUCGGGAGGAACAUCAGUGGCGAAGGCGACUACCUGGCCUGUUUCUUGACGCUGAGGCGCGAAAGCUAGGGGAGCAAACGGG